UUUAUGCUUUGGGUUCCAUUCUCAACAAUAGCAGAUGAUUAAUUGUUCAAGUUAUCACUACGCUUAUGGAUCUUUGGUCUUUUAUGAACAACUCUUAAAUUAAUUGACCCGCAAGUCCACCAAUGACUCGAAUUUUCCAUUGCUUUCCACCAUUACAUCCUUAUUGUAAUAAGUUUUUAUAAUACUCACAUAACGCAUCAAUGUUUAGUGGUCUCCUAACCCCAGCUGAGAGAACCCAAUCUGUCAUGGUGGACACUACUGUUAACCCAAAAAUAUUUGGAGCUGGACUGGCCGUUUGAUUCUGGAAGGAAGAAGACAUAUUUGAGUCAGGAGGAGAGAGGUCAAAGAACUCCAAAGUAUUCAGACCGGUUAUGGAAGAAAGUGGAGUCGUGGUGCAAAGCGGGGGAGAGAACAUUCGAUCGAAUCUUUGAGAUUGUUGACCAAAACGAACCCAAGAUUUAUCUGCUCUGACAUAGGUUGUUUAAGUAGACGCGUGGCUAAAGAGGAGCGGAAAAAAAUGGGGACUAAGGCCGAUGAAAGGUUUCUAUUUCUCAAACAUCAAUAUUGUACAAGUUUUCUUUAUAUCCUUGGUCUCAGCAAGAUUUUGCUUCCCUUUAUUGGGCUGUGUUUUAAAAGCUGUCAUAAGUUGCACUAACUGAUAGUAAAUCAUUGGUGAGAUGGAAAAAAAUAUUACAGGAAAUGCUUUGGGGUUAACAAGAGCUGGCAUGGUGGCCUAUUUUGAGGUGCUGGUAGUGGUUGUGGCGGGGGUGGGGUGAUAGACGUCGUGGGAGCGUCAGCAAUGUAUGUGGCUUUAUGCAUGUGGUCGCUUUGUCAAGACUGAUGACUUCAGACUGAUUAUUUUGCAAGAAGGUUUAUAUCAAAGUUGCUAUAAAAAACCUCCCAUGCCGUUCUUCACUUUAUUCGGGAUAGAGGAUGCAGAAAAUUAUGUUGUUGUUGCUUUCAACGAACUCAAAGUAUUCGCUCGAGUUAGAUCCAUCACCAACCAAUAUAAACAUCAGGUUUUUCGUUCAGGACUAAAUAUAUGCUAACAAUUCACGUCCUCCAGAUCCAGGUUCCGUGGAUAGUGCCAUUUUGUGGUCUUCGACAGAGAGACGAUGAAACUCAUCAAAAAGAGGCUACAAGUCUGGGUCUUAAAGAGAUGACCAGCAGUGAGGAAAUGGAGCUACCAAAAUGUCUUGAGGAGUUAGCUGGCAAUGAAUAUGUUUUUCAUCUACGUUGACUCCUUACAAUUUCACUCCAAAUCACCGUACGUUCACUGUAUCAUCAAUCAGUGAAGACGUUUUUACAUUUCAAUCCCACUUAGCUUUCAUUUCAUUUCAAUUGUCUAUUCCACAUGUUUCCUCUAUUUCAAACUUUGGUUGUCUCUAUGAUUUGCUGUAAACUAUUUUUUACUGGUGUAAAAAUUACUAUGACUUUAUAUAAUAAAGGAAGCGUGAACGUGUCUUUAGUUAAUU